AUAGACGACGGCCGAAAGAAUUAUGUUUUAUAUAGCCACAGUGCGCUGUAAAUUCGGAAGCUUGUAUCGACGGUUUCUUCCUCUCUCGCAAUAUGUACGUACCAAACAUGCUCUGCCUCUGUCAGGAAGUUUCCUCUUGAUCUAGCCAGGUCUCUCUGGCUGAUACGAUUUCAUUUUUUUUCAUCUCAAUACACUCGAAGCCGUUACUAGAGUGAAGUACGUACUAGUGUGCUUUGUGCACCGCCGUCACUUUAGAGGUAGCAAUUGGUUCCUGUGAGAGGUCCAAUGGGCCCACGGAGUAGGUCACCGGAGGCCUUGAUUUCGCUUUGGCCCACCAAAAACAUUUUCGUCUGUGACAGAUGCCGUCGCUUUGAGAGCAAAGAUAGGCGGCACAGUCCUCUCAAAAAAAAAAGAUAGGCGGUACAGUAGCGUGCAUGUAUAUACAGACGGUACGUACCCCGUAUAUUAUUACCGCCACGUCACUUAUGCUAUACACACACACACACACGAGCAUACGUACACAACAAAACUGAAAUUGUUAUCAGCAAGACACGUAUACACGGAGGAAGAUGGAGCUAGGAAGGAGACGAGCGAGGGAAGAAGAAGAAGAAGAAGACGAUCGACGCAUAUAUGUAUACUUGAUGAAGAUGAGGUGGGGAGUUGUUGGAUUGAACCAGCU
rnacentral:lncRNA from 1 species